rnacentral:rRNA from 1 species
AGCGAACGCUGGCGGCAGGCCUAACACAUGCAAGUCGAACGGAUCCUUCGGGACUAGUGGCGGACGGGUGAGUAACACGUGGGAACGUGCCCUUUGGUUCGGAACAACUCAGGGAAACUUGAGCUAACACCGGAUGUGCCCUUCGGGGGAAAGAUUUAUCGCCAUUGGAGCGGCCCGCGUCUGAUUAGCUAGUUGGUGAGGUAAAGGCUCACCAAGGCGACGAUCAGUAGCUGGUCUGAGAGGAUGAUCAGCCACAUUGGGACUGAGACACGGCCCAAACUCCUACGGGAGGCAGCAGUGGGGAAUCUUGCGCAAUGGGCGAAAGCCUGACGCAGCCAUGCCGCGUGAAUGAUGAAGGUCUUAGGAUUGUAAAAUUCUUUCACCGGGGACGAUAAUGACGGUACCCGGAGAAGAAGCCCCGGCUAACUUCGUGCCAGCCGCCGCAGUAA